rnacentral:rRNA from 1 species
GAUGAACGCUAGCGGCAGGCCUAACACAUGCAAGUCGAGGGGUAGCAGGAUUAAGCUUGCUUAAUUGCUGACGACCGGCGCACGGGUGCGUAACGCGUAUGCAACCUACCUUAUACUGGGGUAUAGCCCGGAGAAAUUCGGAUUAAUCCCCCAUAGUACUAAUGAAUCGCAUGGUUUAUUAGUUAAAGCAUUGCGGUAUAAGAUGGGCAUGCGUCCUAUUAGCUAGAUGGUGAGGUAACGGCUCACCAUGGCUACGAUAGGUAGGGGGCCUGAGAGGGUGGUCCCCCACACUGGUACUGAGACACGGACCAGACUCCUGCGGGAGACAGCAGUGAGGAAUAUUGGUCAAUGGGCGCAAGCCUGAACCAGCCAUGCCGCGUGCAGGAAGAAUGCCCUAUGGGUUGUAAACUGCUUUUAUUUGGGAAUAAACCUCUUUACGUGUAGAGAGCUGAAGGUACCAAAUGAAUAAGCACCGGCUAACUCCGUGCCAGCCGCCGCAGUAA